rnacentral:tRNA from 1 species
GAGGUUGUGGCUCAGUGGUAAAGUGCCUGCCUGGCAUGUGUGAGGCACUGAGUUUGAUCCUCAGCACCACA